GGGGUAGUUGCUCUCUGAUCUCCAUGAGCACCUAAAUUUUGGAUGCAUUUAGAGGAGUAUAAUUAGUAAACCUCCUCUAUAAAGAUCGAUGCCUUGGUGAUAGGUGAUGCUAUCCCUAGGGCUUCCAGGUUGUCGACCCCGAGGAGGGGUUCUAGAUCUUCACUGAUGAGAUGGAGUUCUGGACCAUUGCUGAUCCCUUAAGAGAUUUCCUUAGAUCAGAGGGAGUUUAAGGUCUCCCUUUUUCUCUUUGGUUAUGGGGUCGAUCG
rnacentral:lncRNA from 1 species